UUUUUUUCAGGCAAGCCCCUGGUCGUAUUUGCUUUCUCGGCUAUUAGCGACCCCCGUGUGUGGCCGGCUGCCCAGUGCUGGCCGUGCUCACCGGUACUGCAUGAUGCAUUUGUACCACCGCCCGAAGUCCGAAGUCACAAACAGGAACUGGCCGCGGGUCACGACCCGCUGGCGUGCUUCACGAGACAUGACCAGCUUGGCAUCUGGGUCUGCUGGCUUGAUGUCUUUGAGCGACCUCAGCGUGUAGUCCACAAAGUCGCUGACCACUCCGAACAGCAGGGCAUGGCCGGUGGAGACGGUGAAGAGGCACGACAGGUCGACGUACGGCAGGGCCGCAAAGGCAGUCAGGCCCUUGCACCCAGUCUGGAGCGCCGCCUCAUCGAACUGCUUCUGCGUGAUCUUGUGUGGAGUCCCAAGGUGGAGCAUCCUGUACAUCGCCUGCAUGACACUGCCCGCGCUGACGAAAUGCCGAUGGGUCUUCUUGAGAGCCCGGGCGCCGACCUUCAGGCUCUUGCCUGCAUUCCGCUUUAUGAAGUGCUGGCUGACUGCUUGGGUGUAGCCACGGAAGCGCACGGUGGCCCCGCACCCGACAUUGGCCUCCGUGUGUGCCUCGAAUAGGCACCACGUGCAGCUGCCGACACGACUGUUCUGGUCUCGUAGCUGCUGGUGGGCCGGUUCUGUCGGUGGGAACGGCUGGAAUAAAAGCCUGCCGCGGUCCAGGUGUUGGACGGGCGGCUCAUGACUGCCAUUUCAGGGGCUGGGGACAGCAGGGUGCGGAGCUUGGUAUGGAAGAGGGCAGCUCUG
rnacentral:lncRNA from 1 species